CAUUUUAACUCCAUGCAUCACAGGUAAGUAACCGUCUUCAUGUGGAAUGCAGAGUCGUCUCAAUGAAGGGGGCGGGGCGUGCGGACCGAGGUAGGGGACUGAGGGUGGAGUACUCAGAAGCCCACGGAUCUGGAACGAAGAACACUGUAACAUACACAGGAAGAGGAGUCAACGCAAGUUCUCCUUUCUUUCUUUCUGUUCUAUUUUUAAAACAAAACUUCGAGUGCUUAAAAAAAAUAAUUGUGUGAGACAACCACACCCACUGUCCUUUUAAGAUGCAUCUUGAAAACGUUUUUUUUUCUUUCUUCUUUUUUAAAAUUUAUUAUUAUAAACAUUGUAUUUGUUUAAGGAACGACACGGGCCAUCCGUUAAGAACAUGGACACAAUUUUCCCCGUGCUGCUAUCAGCGUUAUCUCCGAGUAUGUUGGAAGAUCACCGGGGACUAACACAACCUGACAUACACCUGGCGAGACCUUGAACUGACCGAUCACUCCAUUCAGUGGAAAUCAAUACGUCAGCACACAACGGAAACCAAAUACAUAUGGACGUCCUGGAAAUAGAGGUGGACAGUCAGGAGCUGCAACAGUUCCAUGAACUUGAAUCCGCAGAUGGAGACAAUAAGGAACUGUCACCGUUCCCAGAAGAAAACGAUUCAAGGAAGCAGUGGUAUGCCCUGGGAAUGGAGUGCCAGGUUCCGGAAUGUCAACCACUGGGGAAAUUAAUUCUCUCAUUUUCGGAAGUAUAUGGCCCAUUAGGCAAAAGUCCAUCGGAAAUACGUUCCGCUAUUCAAAUGUACCUUAUGUGGCAAAUCCCGUUAGCAGAGGAAAAUAGGACCAACUGCAGAGAUUAAGUAAUGGGCAUUUUCCCUGGCAAAAACAGUGACAGUACUCUUGUGAUUAAAAGUUUGUUGGAUAAGGAAAACAGGAAGAUUGCAUGCACAAUAAUGGACGAAACGUGCACCAUACCAGAUUUUGUGUUAUGAUUUACAUGGACUUUAAAAUUUAUCUACUGUAUAUUAUCAUUAUCUAUUGUCAGAAAUUCUAUUAUAUUCAAUUAUAUAUUUUUAUAAAUAAAAAUAUAGUACAGUGGAGCCUCGGUAAUCCGGACGCCAUUAAUCUGGACGCUUCACCUUCCGGACGAUUUUUCUAGGGAACAGAAUUUUUAUACAUUAUUUUGCAUCAUUAAUCCGAAAAUUCGCGUUCCGGAUCCGGACGGUAACUUUUUACCAUAAAACGUUAUGAUGCAAAGAAAAUUGUACCGUUAAUCCGGACGGUAAUUUUGUUUAGGGAAGGUCUGUGUCGGACAAGUUUAGCAAGGCGUAAAUUAUAAAGAAAACAAGCCAAACUGUCUAAUUGAAGCAAUUACCUGUACCCUGUCAACACCUCCCUCCAAUUAGGUGGUGUGUGAUGAUAAGUCUGUUAGAUAGCACAUGUCGAUCGAGACAUUGUAUUGCCAAUUUUCGCACAUAAGAUCUUUAUUGCGUGUAGUGUUGAAUUUUGUAAAUAAAUCUGUAGCAUAUCGUUUUAUAGUCUUGAUCAAUACCCUAAUAGUAUUAAUAAAUUAAACAUCAUGCCGUAAUGAUAUUUUUUAACUGCUACACAUAUCAGUUGUACUGAUUCGUAAAUUGAUAUCGGCUUAUUCAAAUCUAAAGAGUGUAGAUUAUACUUCUAGAUUCUGGAUUUUAUACUGUUUUAUACUGUUGAUUGGCGUGAAAUAUACAUGUAUGUUCAUGUAAAUGUAGUAAGUUUUAAUGUUUAGAAUGUCACGCAUGUAGAAUGUACCUGUGUACGAUUGAUUCUUGUUACGAUGUUGAAGAGCUUUAUUGCUUUUGAAUUUUUAAACUCUGGGUAGAAGUGAGAAAAUUACCAUUUUAAGGAAAAUGACAAUUAAAUUCUGUAUGUACCUGUAAUGUUUGUUUCACCCGAGUUUUGUUCCGUUAUUAUUGCAUCAUGAAGAUAAUAGGUGUGCGUGACUAGAUCAAAGCAGUAGUAAGUCUUGAUAUUACGAGCUUAAAUGAUUUUGUUCUCCCGAUAUUGUCUUGGAUAAUUAUAGAAUAAGAAAUAUAAACUCUGGCAGAUUGAAUUUUGGUUAAAGAAUGUUGUCAACUGACAUGAUAAUCACAAAAUUCUUAUAUCAACUUUGGACGAUGAAGAUUGUUUUAACAGACCGCCGAACCCGUGAAUCGUGACAGAUGGAAAUUACCGGCCUCUUUAAGAAGUAAAAGUGUGAUGAAAUGUUUGAAGUGUAAAUGAUUAUGGUAGUUACUAAUGAUUUAUUUACUUAUAGUUACAUACAGUGCUUCAUUAUUUGUUUUAGUGCAUACAGUACAGUUUUGUAUAUUUAUUUGUAGGGAUCAUAUGUAUGUACAAUGUAAGCACAGACAAAUACUCUCGUACAUUAAAUUUUAGUGCUUUGAAAUACAUGUAAAUGUUAACACUAUCAUAAUUUAUUUACCAAUGCAAAUGGUUAAAUCCAAUGAUAGAAUAUGUUUAAUUCACUAUGCAUCAAUAAAGUAGGCACAUACCGGUUACUUAUGCAAAGCUAAAAAAUAUGCGAUUCAAUUAUCCGGACGCUUCAUUUAUCCGGACGAUUUUGCUGGGAACCAAAGUGUCCAGAUUAACGAGGCUCCACUGUAAUUGUCUAAGGGGGGAAGAAUGUGGUAGUAUCGGUCUAUAUUAUCUCCAUUUCAUUAUUUUCUACUUACUUGUCUACAUAAAUUCCUAUCUUUGAAUUCGAGUUGUUUAUUUCAUGAAACAGGAAGAGAGUUAUCUUUUAUUUUCAAACGUUAUUUAUUACAAAACUUCUCAUUGGUUACUUCUAGAUUUAUUAUCAAAUCACAUUACAGGUAACUUUUACUUUCAUUCUUUUGUUAAGAAUAGUAUUUAAACCCGAGCACAACCGUGCUCGGGGCUUCUUCUGAGCCAAACCUUGCAACAAGGUAAAUAUCAAGAGUUGCCGCACCCUGUAUUUUUUAUUAUUGUUUCUUUAUUUUUCCUAUUUAGUUAUAUUUUUCUCUCAAGCCACAUUCAUUCCCCGGGAUUAUUAGUUUGGUAUUUAUCAUACAAUUGUUGAACUUUAUUAAAGGUUUAAAACUUUA